GCCUUGGUAGCUCAGUCGAUAGGGCAUGAGACUCUUAAUCUCAGGGUCGUGGGUUCAAGCCCUAUGUUGGACA